GGCCUAUUGGCUCAGUUGGUUAGACCGUCAUGCUAAUAACGCGAAGGUCGCAGGUUCGAGACCUGCAUAGCCCA
rnacentral:tRNA from 1 species